AGCUCUUCAAAGGCAUAGAGUCACCACCCCUCUGGAGAUUACAAGAACUUGCUUCACCGAAGUAGAAAAACAAGUACUGUGUUUGCUCAAGGAGAAACAUUUCUUCUUUCAUCAAGUUUUGUUUUAGGGGGAAAGCAGGAGCCAACUUUUUUAGAGCAUCCAUGUCAAAGUCUUCCUUGGAAAAAAAAUCAGUUCUGAUCUUCUCCAGUAGAUACUGAGAUUUCUGAUCAAAGUGUGUCUAUUCUAUUCUCUUCUGCAACCUCAUAUAAUUUGUUGCCCUCACUGGUGGGAGAUAGAAGAGGGGCCCUCCAGCAGUCUUCAUUUCUCAGGAAUACAGAGUACACACCCAAACAUCUAUGCCUGCCAUAGUAUGAAGACCAGACAAGUUCUCUUGCUUUCCCUUCUCCUGGUGCUCCUUCCUGAACCAGGAGAAUUGGGCCCUGUCCGCAAUCGUGAACAAUGUCGUCAUUACAAAGGUGCUUGUACCAUUAUCAAAUGCCCUGCGGGUUUCAUCUCUAUUGGAAGGUGUUCAACAUUAAGCCCAUGCUGCAGAGUGCUGUUGCCAGGAUAAGAAUGAUAACACCCAGGAUAAGACGGAGAAAUUGAAUAUAUGGAAGGACAUCCUGCCUUGACCAGAAAAAUCAUCAUUGCCUGUUUUACUGUCUCCAAGUCUGCUACAAAAUCUGUAUUAUAGUCUUUUCACCCACUGAAGAAACACAAAAGAAUCUUACAACUUAGUUCUUCCUUCAGUAACAAUAAAUGCAAGUGUGCGGUGGAUUAACAGUUUCUGUUUCUCUCUUUAUUAAAAAUUUGACAAGAAGGUCAUUGUCAUCAACAA